CAGAGGACCAAGUAUAUAUAUAUAUAUUAUUGCUUGGCAUCACACUCCCUGUGCUCAUACUGAGAAUAAUCAAAUCAUGAUUGCUGGUCCCUGUAGCUGCUUUCAGGGGCUACAGCUUCUACUGCAACAGGUUGAAUGAACAUCCAGUGCAGAGAUAUUCACAAAUGCAAAAGCACGCCUUAAUGUGGCGUUUUAGUACCUAUUUUUACUGUUAAUGUUGUCCAAAAGCUCGUGCAGCCUGAAUCUCUCAUUGACCUAAAACCCAACCUCCAGGAGUAAGCAGCAGCUUCCACAUCAUCCAUUCACUAUUCAUUGUCCUUCCUAAUGAGAACAACAUUAGACUUCUACCUCAACACGACUGAAAUGAUUUCACGAAAAGAGGAGAAUCAUUAUUUUCCAUCAGUUCAUUUAGCAGUGGCUGAAAGUUUCUUCUAGUAAACACAAGGAUCAGUCUCUGCUCUGAAGAAUCAAUCAAGCAACCGCCUGGCCGAUCCAGCUUGGUUCUGACAAAACGGAGGAGCUUUGAGAUAGAGGCCAUUCUGCUUAUAUGUGAUUGCAAAUAUAUAU
rnacentral:lncRNA from 1 species